rnacentral:rRNA from 1 species
CUCCUACGGGAGGCAGCAGUCGGGAAUUUUGGGCAAUGGGCGAAAGCCUGACCCAGCAACGCCGCGUGAAGGAUGAAGUAUUUCGGUAUGUAAACUUCGAAAGAAUGGGAAGAAUCAAUGACGGUACCAUUUAUAAGGUCCGGCUAACUACGUGCCAGCAGCCGCGGUAAUACGUAGGGACCAAGCGUUGUUCGGAUUUACUGGGCGUAAAGGGCGCGUAGGCGGCUUGUCAAGUCACUUGUGAAAUCUCCGGGCUUAACCCGGAACGGCCAAGUGAAACUGACAUGCUAGAGUGCAGAAGGGGCAAUCGGAAUUCUCGGUGUAGCGGUGAAAUGCGUAGAUAUCGAGAGGAACACCUGAGGUGAAGACGGGUUGCUGGGCUGACACUGACGCUGAGGCGCGAAAGCCAGGGGAGCAAACGGGAUUAGAUACCCCGGUAGUCCUGGCCCUAAACGAUGAAUACUUGGUGUCUGGAGUUAUUAGUGCUCCGGGUGCCGUCGCUAACGU